rnacentral:rRNA from 1 species
AUUGAACGCUGGCGGCAUGCUUUACACAUGCAAGUCGAACGGUAACAGGCCGCAAGGUGCUGACGUGUGGCGAACGGGUGAGUAAUGCAUCGGAACGUGCCCAGUCGUGGGGGAUAACUACUCGAAAGAGUAGCUAAUACCGCAUACGAUCUAUGGAUGAAAGCGGGGGACCGUAAGGCCUCGCGCGAUUGGAGCGGCCGAUGUCAGAUUAGGUAGUUGGUGGGGUAAAGGCUCACCAAGCCAACGAUCUGUAGCUGGUCUGAGAGGACGACCAGCCACACUGGGACUGAGACACGGCCCAGACUCCUACGGGAGGCAGCAGUGGGGAAUUUUGGACAAUGGGCGCAAGCCUGAUCCAGCAAUGCCGCGUGCAGGAAGAAGGCCUUCGGGUUGUAAACUGCUUUUGUACGGAACGAAACGGCUCUGGUUAAUACCCGGGGCUAAUGACGGUACCGUAAGAAUAAGCACCGGCUAACUACGUG